rnacentral:rRNA from 1 species
AGCGAACGCUGGCGGCAGGCCUAACACAUGCAAGUCGAACGAACCUUUCGGGGUUAGUGGCGGACGGGUGAGGAACACGUGGGAACGUGCCCUUAGGUUCGGAAUAACUCAGGGAAACUUGUGCUAAUACCGAAUGUGCCCUUCGGGGGAAAGAUUAAUCGCCUUUAGAGCGGCCCGCGUCUGAUUAGCUGGUUGGUUGAGGUAAUGGCUCACCAAGGCGACGAUCAGUAGCUGGUCUGGGAGGAUGAUCAGCCACAUUGGGACUGAGACACGGCCCAAACUCCUACGGGAGGCAGCAGUGGGGAAUCUUGCGCAAUGGGCGAAAGCCUGACGCAGCCAUGCCGCGUGAAUGAUGAAGGUCUUAGGAUUGUAAAAUUCUUUCACCGGGGACGAUAAUGACGGUACCCGGAGAAGAAGCCCCGGCUAACUUCGUG